ACUGACAACUCCCUCGUUGGAGCCAUGUUUCCUUUCAAUUAGCUGAGUCCAACAGCUCGUUAAGGUGUGUAAG